GGGGAUAUAACUCAGCAACACAGUGUUUGCCUGGUAAGCAUGAGGUCCUGAGUUCAAUUCCUGGUACCUCCC
rnacentral:tRNA from 1 species